rnacentral:rRNA from 1 species
UACGUAGGGGGCAAGCGUUGUCCGGAAUCAUUGGGCGUAAAGCGCGUGUAGGCGGCCAGGUAAGUCCGUUCUGAAAGCCCGGGGCUCAACCCCGGGAGGCGGAUGGAUACUGCUUGGCUCGAGUCCGGAAGAGGCGAGUGGAAUUCCCGGUGUAGCGGUGAAAUGCGCAGAUAUUAGGAGGAACACCAAUGGCGAAGGCAGCUCGCUGGGACGUGACUGACGCUGAGACGCGAAAGCGUGGGGAGCAAACAGG